AAUUACUAUUGGAAUUUUCCUUGGAUUGCUUAUUUUAUAGUUUAGCAGCGACAAAUUAUGUCUAUGCAGCGAAUUGGACAGAUUUUGCUGAAAUGAGAGCACGUACGACGGUUAUUUAACUAUGGAAUAAAUGAUUAACAUCGUGAAAAAUGAUCGAAGGAUGCAAGCAACCAUCAUCAAAGCGAAAAUUAUCAAUGAAAAGAAAAGUAACGUUUUAUGAGGAACCCACUUUGCUUGUGGAUAAGAUAAGAAAAUAUUUUAAUAACAACAAAUGGUUAUUAGUAUUUUAAUGGCUGUUUUAGAAAUUUCCCUGCAGUGGGUUUAUCUUGCAGAUAAUGUUUAGUUCUACAAACAUUAAUUAUUUAUUACAAUUUUAUGGCAAUUUAAUUACUACUUAAAUGUAUGUUUGCAAUAUAAUGAAAUAAUUUCAAAACUUUCUACGUUAGAAGAAAUCAAUAGGAACUAGCUGCGACUCGUGGCUCUGCUUCUGUAGAAAUUUCCAAAUAAUAUGUACGUACUUAGCUAUAAAUAAUAAAUUGGCAUAAAAGAAUAGGCCUGUCUAGAAUAGGCCCCAUUCAUAUUCACCGGUAAAGGUAGCCUACAAAAGAUAGGCUACUAUUUAUCAUGGGAAACACGCGGAAAAGGUUGAGGUGGUUCUGUCGCUAGUUCAGUCGGAAACUGUAAGGAUGGAAAAACUAUUAUAGGCAGACAAAUUGUUAGUUUAAAUUAAUAAUGUUAGCAUUGUAAUUAUAAGUAAGUAAUUUUAAUUCAUUAUUUUUGUCAGACGUGGUCAUACAUACAAGGUAUUAUAUUAGAAUAUAUAGUGCGCCAUGCAUAAUUAAUUUUUUUAUUUCUGAUAACACGUCGACUUUGACUAGAGCUCUCAAAAUUCACUAGACUAUACACAAUUAAUUGCAGACUAAACAAUGAGCGUUCAUCGGGGCGAAACGUAAAACCUUAUGACAGAUAAAAAUACAACACUAGAGGCACAUCCCGGCUUCGCUCGGGUGAAAACUUAAUAAAUCAUACACCAAAACCUUCCUCAGGAGUCAUAACUAUCUAUUGGUGAACCGCACGAAAAUCUGUGCAGUAAUUUUUAAGUUUGCCGUGGCUACAUGGAUGGAUAUCAAAGCGUUCGACCGCUGCGGCCGCGAUGUCAUUACUACCCGUCGAUUUUCUCGAGGAAGGAAAGAAAUCAUUUACAAAAUCGACCAUUCAUAAAAUUUACAUUACCACAGUAUAGAUUAAUUAUUGCAAAGUCUGUGAUAUUGGAACUAAUUCUUGUCUUUGUUGAAAUUUGAAGAAUAUUUAGAUUUAAAUAAAUUAAUUGUGUCUGAUAUUCAGAUACGAAGAAAAGAAUAAGAUAAAUAAUGAAGAUUGUAAUGGCAUUCAGCUUCUUUAUAGACUUGACUGACAACCACUCUAUGGCUGUUUAAAAUAAACAAUAACAGAAUAAAGAAAAAUAGGACUAUCGACAGGGACUGAGGGCUGAGACUGGACUAGAGGAAGGUGGACAUCGACGGCAAGACGUUCAAGUCGCCCCCUUCAAAGAUCAUCACUAGGGCAGUUAUAAAGGUUUUAAAUGUAUAGUGAUAUUCAGCGGCUCAACAACAGGUUUACCAGUUAACCUGCACCCUAAAAGAGUCUUGGAAAACUGAGUGAAAUGGUCCCAGAACGGACAAACUGGUGCUAUCGUCUCUUCUUCAUAGUCGUAUUCCUCAUGGCUGAGGGUCGUGGUCAUUACGUGGAAUGAAACACACACAACAACUUUCUUGGCAUUAUUAAUGGGGUGGUUUACCAUUGCCUUCUCCAUUUCAUACACAAGUUAAUAAUAAUCAACCAGUGUGCAGGUUUUCUCACGAUAGUUUCCUUCACCGGAAGCAAGUGAUGGUCUAUGAAAACUACAUGAGUCAGAUUGGUAUACAAACUCAUGGGAUACUAGUAGGAUUCGAACCUGGGACCUUUCGAUCCACGGGCGUCUUAACCAUUACACCACCACCGCUUCUAUAGUAAAUAUUUAAGAAUAAUUAGUUUAAAGUCAACUGUAUCCUGAACUGAAUUGGUUAAAUAAUAAAAAUUUACACUGAUUAU